AAUCCUUUGUGAAGCUUUUCGGGAGCGCGAGGGUGGAGCCCCGGCGGCCGACGGCCUUUGAAGUUUCCUUCUUAUUUGAGUUUAAAGGCGGGGACUUAAUCCAGGGGCGGCCUCGCAGUUUCCCACAGGGGUAAAAGGGGGCAAGAAAACUGACUUUUUUUUUUUCCUUUGGAGCCUCAGCUACCACCCCGGGCUCCAGCUUCUUCAAUAACAACUUGAUCGUUGUUUUUGCGGCUUUUUAGUCCAAAAGUGGUUUCAGCUGUCAGGCCGCAGAGGUCCCCCAGAGUCCAACCAUCAGCACAGUGGGGAGGCUGGGUGGAGACGUACCUCGAUGGAGGGGGGCUCCUUCCGUCUGCCUCGGAUCCAAGCUGGAGGAGAAGCAGGAGGAGGAGAGAGCAGAAAUAAGACGACUGCUCUCUUCAGGGGUCAUCACAGCGAAUCAUCUGCCUGCAUCUCACCCAAUCCGUAACUAUCCUCCACUGUCAACACAUCUUUGUGCAGGUCCUCCUUCACUAUAUGCAUUAAAUCUUCCAUCCAAUACGACAAUGUUGUUAUUAAGACUAAUACGCCAUCUAGUGGCAAUCUUAUGACACUACAAGGCUAACGUGCAUAUGAAAAACCUCUCAAUACAGAGAAAGAAGACAUGUCACAUGCAGGGGCACUGAACUAGCAUUAAUAACUAUUUAAAAGUGAAAGAAGCAGUAGUUAAACAGUAGUUAAAGCUGUAGAUGCUAAUGUUAGCACACAUGUUAGUUUACCUGUCC